UUGCACGCUGGCGGCAUGCUUUACCCAUGCAAGUCGCACGGCAGCGCGGGCUUCGGCCUGGCGGCGAGUGGCGAACGGGUGAGUAAUGCAUCGGAACGUGCCCAGUAGUGGGGGAUAGCCCGGCGAAAGCCGGAUUAAUACCGCAUACGACCUGAGGGUGAAAGCGGGGGACCGAAAGGCCUCGCGCUAUUGGAGCGGCCGAUGUCGGAUUAGCUAGUUGGUGGGGUAAAGGCUUACCAAGGCGACGAUCCGUAGCUGGUCUGAGAGGACGACCAGCCACACUGGGACUGAGACACGGCCCAGACUCCUACGGGAGGCAGCAGUGGGGAAUUUUGGACAAUGGGGGCAACCCUGAUCCAGCCAUGCCGCGUGCGGGAAGAAGGCCUUCGGGUUGUAAACCGCUUUUGUUCGGGAAGAAAUCCUCUGGGCUAAUACCCCGGGGGGAUGACGGUACCGGAAGAAUAAGCACCGGCUAACUACGUG
rnacentral:rRNA from 1 species